UACGGAGGGUGCGAGCGUUGUCCGGAAUCAUUGGGCGUAAAGGGCGCGUAGGUGGCUUCUUAAGCGUGCGGUGAAAGCCUGGGGCUCAACCCCGGGUCGGCCGUGCGAACUGGGGGGCUGGAGCACUGUAGAGGCAGGCGGAAUUCCAGGUGUAGCGGUGGAAUGCGUAGAGAUCCGGAAGAACACCGGUGGCGAAGGCGGCCAACUGGACAGAUACUGACGCUGAGACUCGAAAGCGUGGGGAGCAAACAGG
rnacentral:rRNA from 1 species